rnacentral:sRNA from 1 species
GAAAUGACCGAUGACUCGGUUGACGUGCGCGAC